rnacentral:rRNA from 1 species
CAGCCGCCGCGGGAAUACAGAGGGUGCAAGCGUUAAUCGGAAUUACUGGGCGUAAAGCGCGCGUAGGUGGUUUGUUAAGUUGGAUGUGAAAUCCCCGGGCUCAACCUGGGAACUGCAUCCAAAACUGGCAAGCUAGAGUAUGGUAGAGGGUGGUGGAAUUUCCUGUGUAGCGGUGAAAUGCGUAGAUAUAGGAAGGAACACCAGUGGCGAAGGCGACCACCUGGACUGAUACUGACACUGAGGUGCGAAAGCGUGGGGAGCAAACAGGAUUAGAUACCCGCGUAGUCCCUGUCUCUUAUAU